UGAGGAAUAUUGGUCAAUGGGCGCAAGCCUGAACCAGCCAUCCCGCGUGCAGGAUGACGGCCCUAUGGGUUGUAAACUGCUUUUAUACAGGAAGAAAGAUCUCUACGUGUAGGGACUUGCCGGUACUGUAUGAAUAAGUAUCGGCUAACUCCGUGCCAGCAGCCGCGGUAAUACGGAGGAUGCAAGCGUUAUCCGGGUUCAUUGGGUUUAAAGGGUGCGUAGGCGGCUUUUUAAGUCAGUGGUGAAAUCCUGUCGCUCAACGAUAGAAUUGCCAUUGAUACUGAAAAGCUUGAGUUCAGUUGAGGUAAGCGGAAUGUGUAGUGUAGCGGUGAAAUGCUUAGAUAUUACACAGAACACCGAUUGCGAAGGCAGCUUACUAAACUGACACUGACGCUGAUGCACGAAAGCGUGGGGAUCGAACA
rnacentral:rRNA from 1 species